rnacentral:lncRNA from 1 species
UUAAAACCAAAUUUACAUAAUUCAACUAUUUCAACCGUCUACUAUCAAUAUAAUAUAAAACCCAUCAUUCACAUCACACGCAGAAUAAAAGAAAAAUUGAGACGAUAUCAAUCAAUCACAUAAAAACCAAGAAUUAACUAAGAGUAAGAUGAGAGAGAUAGACCUUAAAUUUAGUGUUUCGAACUGUAAUUAUUAUUUGAUCGUACUUUUGAUUUCAAACCGAACAGUUGACCAGAGCUCACGAUCUGAACCUCAUUGGAACCUCAACUAAUACUGAAAUCUCGAGUAUGAACCAAUUGUAGAAGAAAAAAUCCCUCAAAAUUCGAUUCAAAAAAAGACCCGCGAUAACUCAAAAGGAAAACCCAAACAAUGACACCUAAAUCUGACCAAGAUUUGAGUCAUGAAUGAAAUUACACAUCUAUUUAAAUCACCGUUGGAACUUUUUGAUGAGAUGCAAUGGGGCGAAAAAGAUGGGUCAAUUUUUGGUCGAGUUUUCGAAUGCUUUUCGGUGAGGUUUCCUGGUGGAUUUUGGUGGUUAGGGUUUCUGGUCUCCAAUGUUUCCCGAUGGUUUGACCGGAACGAUCAGCUCCGAUGAAGGUUGCUCCACGGUUGGUAUGGGAAUUGUUUGUUCUGGUGAAAUUUCACCAGAAAUUAGAACAAAAACAGCUAUUUCUCUCUAUUUUUCUCUCUUUCUCCUCUCUCUCGCCACUCUUCUCUCUUAAUCUCUCCCUCCAAUUUCCUCACCGUCCCUCUGUGUGUGUACAGUUUAAUGUGUAGAGCUGUGUGUGUUCUGUGAGGGGUUCUGAGAGUGCAUGAAGAAGAAGAAAGGAAAAGGUGGAAUUCCCC